GGGGGGCUUCAAAUAACAUUGUGUCCCAGCGUCAGAAGUGGAGGAGGGCAAGGGCUGAUCCCCAGUAUCGACACUCUCCACAGUGUCUACACUGGCCACGGUCUCCUGCUCUAUAGCAUGAUGCUUACCGUGGCAAUCUCUCGCUUGCGGCAGACGGUGUCUCUCGACCUCGGGACAGGGCAGGCAGAGUGGUUUGCAUGCACAGACGGCACGGCGGUAGGAAUUAACUUCGCCGUCCUCUUACUCUUUAAACCAAGUGAGACCAUCUUGGCAUCCCCUGAGUGGUAAUCCUCCUCCUUGAAAUGCGCGCUGCAUAUUCUGGAGUACGCGGUAA